GGUUUUUAUGGCUUUGUGUUAGGUUUCUUUGUUACCGUUUUCAACUCUGAAUUCAAUUUCUUUCUAAAUUGAUCAUCGAAUCGAUUCAACCCUAGUAAGAAACCCACAAUCUUUCGUUCGACCCCAUUUCUUCUCUGUUAGCGAAACUGAUUCGUUCUUCGAUUCCUCGAACCCUAAAAAAAUUAUUUUAAGAUUCUGUAUCGUUAUUUUAGGGUUUCAUGUUUCUGAACCCUAAAAAAUCUUGAUUCGAUUUGAAAGAGAAAGGUAGAAAUGGAAAAGAAUUCUAAGCCCUUGCAACUUGUGAUCAACUUGGAUUCACUUCACUCUCAAUUCAAAUUGUAAAGGUUCUCCAAAAUAUCAUUUGACAGAAAUGUUGUUUUGGGUAGUUUUUUGUAUGCAUUGAUUAUCCAAGAGUGUGCUAAAUUGGUGAAUCUUGAUUUUUCAUGCCUAAGAAGGUUAAUAUAAUUUGGGCCCUAAGAAAUUAUGUAGUUGCUAAAAGAAUUCUAGAUAAGUCUUGAGAUGCUGUGUUUGGAUGAGUUAAUGAGAUGAUUUUUUUACCAAAUAUGUGGCUUACAAUAUGAAUUCUUUAUUUAUAUGGGAUCAGGAUGGUGUACAUGAAAAUUUUGGUCUAAAUGCAAUUUGAAAUAUGAAUGUUUAUUCAAAAUGCUAGUCGGUACUUAAUAACAAUUUUCUUAUUAUGGUAUAGUGUGAAGAGGGUUGUGUGUGUGUCUCUGAUGCGAAUUUGAGUAUAUGUCCCUCGAUGUCCCUAAAUUGAUUAUAUGUCCCUCAAUGUUCCUCAAUUGAUGGUCUGAAUGGAACUUCAAUGUGAAAGUUAUUCUUUACUUCAAAUGUAUGUGGAAAUGACACUUCAGGUCUGAAGCGGGCAGAACCUGUAACUGCUUCAGGUCUUAUAUGGGCUGGUGCUUUGCAGAAUGCUACCGGGGCUGAGCCUGGUGCGUCGUGGACAAAUUCUGCUGUUGUUAAUUGGAAAAGGCCAACUCUGGGAUGAUUCAAAUGUAAUAUUGAUGCAUCCUUUUUGUCGAAUUUAAAUAGAGUUGGCAUUAGAAUAUGAAUCCGUGAUGAAUUUGGUCAAUUUGUGCUUUCAUAGACAACCUGGAUUGCCUUCAACUCUGAUACGGGCUUGUGCUUUGCCGAAUGCUACUGCAGCGCGGACAGAUUUUCUGCUGUUGUUAAUUGGAAAAGACCAACUCUGGGAUGGUUCAAAUGUAAUAUUGAUGCAUCAUUUUCGUCGAGUUUAAAUAGAGUUGGCAUUAGAAUAUGAAUCUGUGAUGAACUUGGUCAAUUUGUGCUUUCAAAGACAGACUGGAUUGCCCUUUAUUGUGGAGUGGAUGUUGGUGAAGCUCUUGGGUACUGCAUAAAGAGAAGCAUGUUUUAUUGCAAUCUUGGCAGAUGUCGCCGUUGAACAAGAAGAACAUUGCUGGCUUUCAGAUCUCUAUGGAUUAUUCGAAGUGGAGAAUCCUCAUGAAGGGUCAUGAAGAGGAAAAAUAUGAGGAGAAUGAAGCUAAUGAACCUUGUAGUACAUGUUAUGCUGUGUUGUAACGUUUUCAUGGUUGUGAGUUUCUUCUAAUGAAAAAGUCUUGUUCUGAAAACGAUGCCGUUUAUCUUGACAAUGGAAAUUCCUUACAACGGAGGUUCUCUGCAUCACAAAGUCCAGCUUUAUCAUUCAAGUGUAUGAAUGAAAAUUAUGACAUUGUCACAAGGCCAGUUCGUUUCCAUAUUUCGGGGUACUGCAUAAAGAGAAGCAUGUUUUAUUGCAUUCUUGACAAAUGUUGUGGUUGAACAAGACAUUGGUCUUUUUCAAAUGUCCUUGCCAAUCCGAAAUCUGAUAUCUUUGGAUUCAUUUCAUCAUCGAGAAGGACAUUACUGGCUUUCAGAUCUCUAUGGAUUACUCUAAG